rnacentral:rRNA from 1 species
AGAACUUUGAAGAGAGAGUUCAAGAGUACGUGAAACUGAAGUGGUGUAAACGGACGAGAUCGAAAAGUCCGAAUGGGGAGAUUCAAGUCCAUCCGAGUCGGGGUCUCUCCGGUACAGAUGGUGCGGUCUGCUCGGGUCCCUCGGGGCGCCGGGUUUGUUCCGUAUCCACUCGUCCGGGGUGUUCUUUCCGAUGCGGUGAGCUGCACUUCUCCCCUAGUAGGACGUCGCGACCCGUUGAGGUGUUUCCGAUCUUAUGGCYCGCGGUGGAGACCGUGCUCGGGCGUACCUUCGGGUGCGUUGCGGUGCACGGACCCGUGGUGUCCUGAUCGGCACUCGACGGUAUCGAAGCAUUUGGGAAGGGACCGCACAGAGGUUACGUCCGAUGCCCUUUCGGGGGCUAGACUCGGACAGGUCCGCACCCGGUCAGCGGCGCUACUGCUUUCGAUACUCGUCCGACCCGUCUUGAAACACGGACCAAGGAGUCUAACAUGUACGCGAGUCAUUGGGCUCUGCGAAACCUAAAGGCGAAAUGAAAGUGAAGGCCGAGCACUUGUGCUGGUGCCGAGGGGUGAUGACUUGCCCUCCGUGGCGGUCCGCAACCCCGGGGCGUCUCAUUCUCUUUGAGAAGUGGCGCACCUAGAGCGUACACGUUGGGACCCGAAAGAUGGUGAACUAUGCCUGGCCAGGACGAAGUCAGGGGAAACCCUGAUGGAGGUCCGUAGCGAUUCUGACGUGCAAAUCGAUCGUCGGAGCUGGGUAUAGGGGCGAAAGACUAAUCGAACCAUC